rnacentral:snRNA from 1 species
AUACCUUUCUCGGCCUUUUGGCUAUAUCUGUUCUUAUCAUGAUAUUAACUUAAUUUUUAGGGGAAAAAUUCACUACGGUAGCUUGCUAUCGGGACUUUCAAGUGCCGUCUUGGUGUUUGCACUAUAGCCUUGGCCUGGCACACCCCAC